UUGCUUUGGCAGCACAUAUACCAAAACUGGAACAAUACAGAGAAGAUUAGCAUGGCCCCUACGCAAGGAUAACAUGGAAAUUCAUGAAGCAUUCAUUCUUUUU